GUCCACGCCCUAAACGAUGGAUACUCGACAUUUGCGAUACACAGCAAGUGUCUGAGCUAAAGCAUUAAGUAUCCCACCUGGGAAGUACGAUCGCAAGAUUGAAACUCAAAGGAAUUGGCGGGGUCCGCACAAGCGGUGGAGCAUGUGGUUUAAUUCUAUGAUACGCGAGGAACCUUACCUGGGCUAGAAUGCUGGGAGACCGUGGGUGAAAGCUCACUUUGUAGCAAUACACUGCCAUAAGGUGCUGCAUGGCUGUCGU
rnacentral:rRNA from 1 species